rnacentral:rRNA from 1 species
CCUANGGGGGGCUGCAGUCGAGAAUCUUCCGCAAUGGGCGAAAGCCUGACGGAGCGACGCCGCGUGCGGGAUGAAGGCCUUCGGGUUGUAAACCGCUGUCAGUGGGGAGGAAAUGCACGGGGGUUCUCCCUCGUGUUUGACCGAUCCGCAGAGGAAGCACAGGCUAAGUUCGUGCCAGCAGCCGCGGUAACACGAACUGUGCGAACGUUAUUCGGAAUCACUGGGCUUAAAGAGUUCGUAGGCGGCGCGUUAAGUCGGGUGUGAAAUCCCUCGGCUCAACCGAGGAAUUGCGCCCGAAACUGGCGCGCUUGAGUGAGAUAGAGGUGAGCGGAACUGAUGGUGGAGCGGUGAAAUGCGUUGAUAUCAUCAGGAACACCGGUGGCGAAGGCGGCUCACUGGGUCUCAACUGACGCUGAGGAACGAAAGCUAGGGUAGCGAACGGGAUUAGAUACCCCANUANUC